rnacentral:precursor_RNA from 14 species
UCAGGCUCCAUGGAAUUAAAUGUUACAGAAGGGCCAAGAACAAUAGAAACUGCAUUGCUUAGUUCCAAUUCCAUUGUUCUUGGCCAUUCUGUAACAUUGCCUAAUAUCUUGCUUUAUG